UUGUUGUCCCUUAUUAAUUGCCAGAUAAAAAGGAGUUAUUUUCCCCUUUUUUUCCCUUCCUUUAAAUCCUUACUUUGUAUUUUUUUUUCUGUUUUCUGAAAGAUCUCAAAGCUCUCAUCUAGUGGAAUGCGGGCUAGGGAUUAACGGGACUAAUCUGUAAUAAAUUCAGGAUGUGAUCUGCUCUGACCUCACCAACUAAAUCAAUUGAAAAGUUACUUCAUAAGUCCCCUUAGUUAUUCUUUAACAAAAUAACUGCAUGGCAGGACACCCUUCAGCCCUGCUCGAUUGUACUCAAGUGCUUUGGUUUUAAAAUUCCUUAAUAUAUUUGUAGAAAAGCAGAUUUAACACUCGAUUGGAACAAAUGAAACAAUCAGGGAAGGAUCCAAUGGGACACAAAAGUAGAGAUGAUGAAAAACAUACUGGCACUGAGAGAGAUUGCAUUCCUAAUCCUGACUGUCUUGCUUUGCAUUUGAUGUCAAUGCCAUGGUUAUUUAGAUAUCUACACAGUCUCCAGCACCCAAGAUCACUCAUAAUAUGAUCAAAAGCACAGGAAAACAUGCCAUUUUUUGAGACACAAAACCCUAGAUAAUCUCAAUAUAUAUGUAACAUCCAUUUUAUUUAUACCUUUGGCAUUCAAAUAUUUAAUGAUUUGUAGUGAAAUGUCUGACCAUUUUUCAUUCAAAUUCCAUUCCUAGUCGUAUUAAAGUAUAAAUGUAGUUCUGUAUAUCAGUUUACUUUAUUGUCAUGUGUACCGAGGUGCAGUGAAAAGGUUUUGUGGUGUGCUAUCCAGUCAACAGAAAGACAAUACAUGACUACAAUUGAGCCAUUUACAGUGUAUAAAUACAUAAGGCAUAUAAAUACAUAACGUUUAGUGCAAGGUAAAGCCAGCAAAGUCCGAUCAAGGAUAGUCCGAUGGUCACAAUUGAGGUAUAUAGUAGUUCAGGACUGCUCUUUGGUUGUGGUUGGAUGAUUCAGUUGGCUGAUGUAAGCUGUUACCUGGUUAAAUGGGUAACCAGAUUCUGGCAUCAUAGCUUUAAAUAACUUACUGCGUUACUCAAUGGGCAAACUCCCUGACUACUUGCAGUUCCAGGGUUCUGUUUAUUGCCUUCUACCUGCUGGUUACCACGUUCAUUCUUACAGGGAGGAGGAAUAGAUUGCUUUCAAUAAUACUGUGACUGCAUCUACAACAACAUUUGCAUUGUAUGUGCAUGUUCUGCUUUUAAUUUUAAUUUGCUAAUAAAUAAAAAUAGAAAGUGCUGAAAACGCUCAACUAGUCAGGCAGCACCUGUGCAAUGAAAAAGAUUACAUUUCAGGUCCAAGAUCCUUUGCCAGAACUUUUUGUUGUCCUUAAUAUAUGAGAAAAACAUUUUAAGGCAUUUCACUAAGCCGUAUAGAGACAUUAGGAAAGAUGACUAAAUGUCCAUUAAAGGAAUAACAAUGUUUCGCUAAUUGUGCAUGCUUCAGUUAAAUAACACAUUUCAUGGAAAAUGAAGAAGACCCAUAGAAACAUACUCAGAAAAAAAAAACCUGGGGUUAAAGGAGAUGCCGGAAGGCACAGUGAUAAGCUUGGUCAAAGUAGCUUUCAAUGAGAAUUUUAAACACACAGAUGAGAGAGAUUUAGCGACGAAAUUAUGGAGUACGGAGACUUAAACAAGUGAAAUCACAGCUACCAAUGGUGGGUGAAGAGAAAUAUGAAUGUACAUGAAAAGAUAAAGUUUUAGCAGAGUCUGUAGAGAUGGUGGAGGUCACACACUCAUAUCAUUAUGUAGAUUAAACAGUUAAAUUAUGAAGUUUACAAAUGUUUCCAUUUCUUCGCAUUAAGUACGCACCAGUUACCACUGGCAAGUCUACAAUUUAGGCAAAUCAUAUAUUACAGCGCAAUUUCCUGAAAUUCUGUCACAUAAAAUGCAUUAUCUAGCUAAUCUCAAACUGUUUAAUAGCUGAGCAGUAAUAAUCUUUAUUCGCUUGUUCCAUAGCAUUUUGGAAUAAUAAUGGUUUGGAAUUCCUCCGAACUGAAGCUUCAGAUGUGGAGCGCAAUUCCACAGCCAUUAAUGCAUUGCACAGCCAUUAAUAUGCAUGUUUGAAGUCAAUUUUAAAGUCUUCUAUCUUAAUAUUUUAUACCAUACUGGUUUGUAAAAUUGGAACCAUAAUUUGAAGAUUUUCACCUGAUAUGGAUUUGUGAAGGAAAGAAAAUUACAUUUCUAUUUGUGUCACUCCAGCAUUGAAGUUGGAGACAAUCACAGGGUCAUAGAGAGAUACAGCAUGGAAACAGGGCCUUCGGCCCAACUUGCCAACACCGGCAACAUGUCCCAGUUACACUAGUCCCACCUGCCUGUGUUUGGUCCAUAACCCUUCAAACCUGUCCUAUCCAUGCACUUGUCAAACUGUUUCUUAAAUGUUGGGAUAGUCCCAGCCUCAACUACCUCCUCUUGCAGCUUGUUCCAUACACCCACCAAAAAAUACCCUUCAGAUUCCUAUUAAAUCUGUUCCCCUUCACCUUAAACCUGUCCUCGGGUCCCUGUUUCACCAACUCUGGGCAAGAGUCUCUAUGCAUCUACCCAAUCUAUUCCUCUCAUGAUUUUAUACAUCACUAUAAGAUCACCCCUCAUACUCCAGCACUCUAAGGAAUAGAGUCCCAGCCUACUCAGCCUCUCCCGGUAGCUGAGACCCUCUAGUCCUGCAACAUCUCCGUAAAUCCUCCCUGUACCCUUUCCAGCUUGACAAUAUAUUUCCUAUUCCAUGGUACCCAGAACUGAACACAAUACUUGAAAUGAGGUCUCACCAACGUCUUAUGCAACUGCAACAUGACCUCCCAACUUCUAUACUCAAUACUCUGACUGAUGAAGCGCACAAAGGUGAUACUUUCAGUCUGUUAAGAUUGUGCUAAUUUGCUGUGUUGAGGUUGAGGUUUGAUGAUGUGGAGGAGUGUGGAAGAAAGACAAAAGUAAUAAUUUGUGCAAUGUACAAAUAUACAUUUUCAAACUGUGUGUACAGAGCAAUAUAAAGUCUAUCAUCAGAAUUAAGAAUUUUCUGGCAAGUUGCCUCACCUCCAGGGAGUAUUUGUAAAAUAGGCUCUUAUAUCUUUUCCAAAAAUGGGUCCCCCAACAAAACAAAAUUCAAAAACUUAAAUUCAUUAUGAAAAUAUCCAUCUACGAUGAUCCACUGAAUACUUUGGUUACCAGUCCCAUACAAAACAUUAUAAAUUAUUUUGGAGCAUUGACAGAUUUGCUGUGUCGCUCCAAGAAACACAGUCCUUGAAUAUAACAAUUGCUGUGUUCAUUGCAAGAGGUCUAUUUAAUUCCUCCUGUUGUCAAUAAAGUCACGCAUCAUAAUGUUAUGGAGCACAAUUAUUUCCAUGUCUUCCACAAAUGCAUAUACCAUCAGGGCUUGGACCUAUAUCAGAGAUUGUUCUUCUCAGCAGGGAAAAAGUCAUGAAUUUCACAAUCUGACAUCAUUACGCAUGCAUCACCUCAAAGAAUAGAGCAGUUCGAGGAAAAGUGUUGCCAUCACAUCAGAGGACACUGCAGAUGGGCAAUAAAUGCAACUUUCUAAAAACUAUUAACAGGUCAAGAUCAAACAGGAGACAAAAACUAGUGCACACACGAGGAAGAAGUACAUUGUGAUGUGAGCACAAAGCCCAAUGUUAUACGCACCGUUUACUCUUACACGCUUUACAUGUUAAGCCCCUGUCCCACUUACGUGUUCUUGGCACGCUAAAUACGCAACCUCAUCGUCGCGUUGAGGCGCGACAGUCCCGCGAGAGUCGCGCACGUCAUCAUGCGCCCGCACAGCCGUCUGGAGUGCGUGACGUCAUUUGAAGAUGGACACAAAAUGCUGGCGUAACUCAGCGGAACCGGCAGCAUCUCUGGAGAGAAGCAAUGGGUGAUGUUUGAAACUUGAGGUCUGUCCCGACUACGGGUGCUGUCCAUGCAGAGUUUCUACGUUCUCCCCAUGCCCUGCGUGUGUUUUCCCCGGAUGCUCCAGUUUUCUCCCACACUCCAGAUGUACAGGUUUGUAGGUUAAUUGACUUGGUAAAAUUGUAAAUUGUCCCUAGUGUGUGAGGGAUAGUUUUAGUAUUAAUGUGUGAAGAUCGCUGGUCAACUUGGUCUCGGUUUUAUCUCUAAAACUAAAACUAUUUGUUUCACAGGGCUCUGCAUGACCUAUUGCUAAACGUAUUGCAAUUCUAGGUAUCAUAAUUACCAUAGAUGUUUCUGGUGUACUAAAACAUAGAAAUGUUUAGUGUUAACAACCAACCACUUCACCUAUUAAAAAUUGCGAUACUGGCAAAAAUCCAACUUGAAACAGAGCAAGGGCAAUUUUGUUCCUCACACCACUUUACUCACUUUUCUUUUGCUCUUUACUAUAUGGCAAUCUGAGAAGGGUGUCUAGUCCUUCAAAGCAUGGCCUUGCCUCGUGUACAGUGGCACAGGACCCGAGUUUGAUCCUGACUAAGGAAAAUCCUGUGUGUAAUUUGUACAUUCUCCCUGUGACUGCGUGGGUUUUCUCUGGGUGCUCUGGUUUCCUCCCAUAUUUCAAAGACAAGCAGGUUUGUAGAUGCCAUUCGUUAACAAAUAUUUUACAAAAAUAUCUGCUUCAAUUUUGCAUUUUGCUUGAUUUCACUCAUAAAUUACGUUCACUGUUAUCUAUU